rnacentral:rRNA from 1 species
CCUACGGGAGGCAGCAGUAGGGAAUAUUGCUCAAUGGGGGAAAGCCUGAAGCAGCAACGCCGCGUGGAGGAUGAAGGUUUUCGGAUUGUAAACUCCUUUUGUUAGAGAAGAUAAUGACGGUAUCUAACGAAUAAGCACCGGCUAACUCCGUGCCAGCAGCCGCGGUUAUACGGAGGUGUCAAGCGUUAAUCGGAAUGACUGGGCGUAAAGAGCGCGUAGGCGGGAUAGCAAGUCAGAUGGGAAAUCCUAUGGCUUAACCAUAGAAGUGCAUUUGAAACUGUUAUUCUAGAGUAUGGGAGAGGUAGGUGGAAUUCGUGGUGUAGGGGUAAAAUCCGUAGAGAUCAAGAGGAAUACUCAUUGCGAAGGCGACCUGCUGGAACAUAACUGACGCUGAUGCGCGAAAGCGUGGGGAGCAAACAGGAUUAGAUACCCCAGUAGUC